GGUUGUCUUUUUCGAUGGCAAAUCGGACCCUUGCAGGCUGAGGGAGAGAAAGCUACAUCACACACAGAGGUGGGGUGCUCCCGAGGGGCUGUGGGUCUAGGUGGGUAGGGCGGCCUGCGGCAUAGUGGGGUGGCUGUGGGCUCCCAGCCUGGCCCCUGGGAACCGUGGGAGCACAGGGACAAGCACAUGGCUAUGGAAUG
rnacentral:lncRNA from 1 species